rnacentral:rRNA from 1 species
GACGAACGCUGGCGGCGUGCUUAACACAUGCAAGUCGAACGGAAAGGCCCUGCUUUUGUGGGGUGCUCGAGUGGCGAACGGGUGAGUAACACGUGAGUAACCUGCCCUUGACUUUGGGAUAACUUCAGGAAACUGGGGCUAAUACCGGAUAGGAGCUCAUGCUGCAUGGUGGGGGUUGGAAAGUUUCGGCGGCUGGGGAUGGACUCGCGGCUUAUCAGCUUGUUGGUGGGGUAGUGGCUUACCAAGGCUUUGACGGGUAGCCGGCCUGAGAGGGUGACCGGCCACAUUGGGACUGAGAUACGGCCCAGACUCCUACGGGAGGCAGCAGUGGGGAAUAUUGCACAAUGGGCGGAAGCCUGAUGCAGCAACGCCGCGUGCGGGAUGACGGCCUUCGGGUUGUAAACCGCUUUCGCCUGUGACGAAGCGUGAGUGACGGUAAUGGGUAAAGAAGCACCGGCUAACUACGUG